rnacentral:rRNA from 1 species
GCGGACGGGUGAGUAACACGUGAGUAACCUGCCUCAAAGAGGGGGAUAGCCUUCCGAAAGGAAGAUUAAUACCGCAUAAUAUACAGAGAUCACAUGUUCUUUGUAUCAAAGGAGCAAUCCGCUUUGAGAUGGACUCGCGGCGCAUUAGCUAGUUGGUAGGGUAACGGCCUACCAAGGCGACGAUGCGUAGCCGACCUGAGAGGGUGAUCGGCCACAUUGGGACUGAGACACGGCCCAGACUCCUACGGGAGGCAGCAGUGGGGAAUAUUGCGCAAUGGGCGAAAGCCUGACGCAGCAACGCCGCGUGGGUGAUGACGGUCUUCGGAUUGUAAAACCCUGUCUUCAGGGACGAUAAUGACGGUACCUGAGGAGGAAGCCACGGCUAACUACGUGCCAGCAG